rnacentral:misc_RNA from 1 species
GCUAUCCACUGCUAGCGGGUUUUGAUAGUACUGUGGAGUGUGGGAAGAGCUCAAGUUUUCAUCAAUGGCUACUCUUAGGAACUUGUUGAAGAAAAAAUCUUUAACGUCCAACGAGCUUGCUAUAAGGAGGUUCGUCUCUUCCGAGGCUGCUGCUGAAUCUCCUUCUUUUGCUCAAAGAAUCAGGGAUCUGCCCAAGAAUCUCCCUGGAACUAAAAUCAAGACUGAAGUUUCUCAACUUAUUGGGAGAACUCCCCUUGUUUAUCUUAACAAAAUGAGUGAAGGAUGUGGAGCUUACAUAGCCGUCAAGCAAGAGAUGAUGCAACCAACUGCCAGCAUCAAAGACAGGCCGGCGUUUUCAAUGAU